AUUGAACGCUGGCGGCAGGCCUAACACAUGCAAGUCGAACGAGUGGCGGACGGGUGCGUAAUGUCUGGGAAACUGCCUGAUGGAGGGGGAUCACUACUGGAAAAGUUAGCUAAUACCGCAUACCAUCAGAUGUGCCCAGAUGGGUUUAGCUAGGUGGUGGGGUAACGUCUCACAAAGGCGACGAUCCCUAGCUGGUCUGAGAGGAUGACCAGCCACACUGGAACUGAGACACGGGCCAGACUCCUACGGGAGGCAGCAGUGGGGAAGAUUGCACAAUGGGCGCAAUCCUGAUGCAGCCAUGCCGCGUGUAUGAAGAAGGCCUUCGGGUUGUAAAGUACUUUCAGCGGGGAGGCGUUACCCGCAGAAGAAGCACCGGCUAACUCCGUGCCAGCAGCCGCGGUAAUUC
rnacentral:rRNA from 1 species